CAAUAAAAAACUAGCAAAGCAAAAUAGGGAGAAAAUAUUCAUUCAAAAAAGAUGCGGAGAAAUCUUGCCUAUAAUAAACUGCGUGGGGUUAAUCCCAUAUUUUCAUAAUUCCGUAAAUGCCCCUACCAACAUUGCCACCGUUUCGCGCCCGUACACUGCUACCAUCGGCAGCCUCUCGCCAGUCCUCCUCCGCCUCUACUUCCAUUCGCACUGCAUCUGCUGGCUCUGCUACGGGAACCGCUCCAGGCCCCUCUACGCCGACACCUUCCUCCAUCUCUUGUGCCGCUGCCUGGCCUUCCUCCGCGGAAUGACCCCCCCACUCUGCACUGAAUAGACGCCGCUUAAGCGUCGGCUCCAAAGAGACGGUUAAUCUUCGCCUCUGAACGGACGCAUUUCCUUUGGUCGUUCUUCUAUGUUCGCUGCUUAAUUACACCACAAAGAGUAUAACAUCCCAUUCCCAGUCACUCUCCUCCACCUGCUUUCUUCCGAUGCGCACAAAACAGAACGCUCCCUCUCUGUUUCAUUGUUCUUAUGCGGCCACCAAUUGCUUUGUUCGGUUUUUGGCGAUUAUCCCAAGUCGACUUAAUCGCCAAGUCGACUGAGCAAGGUAAAUGCGUUUCUCCACCCGCUGGCCACUGCGCAUUUGCUUCCUCUCAAUUUCUGGUCAAGAUUUGCUUCUAAGAGACGAAUCUUGUAGGCCCAUCUGUCGAUGUGCAGUCAUUGAUUGUCCACUGUUCUUCCUUUUUAUUGUUUGAAGCCUCUAUAUGAAUUUGAGAUUGGUUAACCAUAGAACACGUACAAGAGGACUGUCAUGCCAGUGGAUUUCCUUAUAAUCAUAGUGUGUAAUUUAAUUUGAUUUAGUUUAAUUUAAGGAAAUAAAGAUAAAAGUACGUGAAAAAAAUUUUAAAAAAUGAUAAAAAAGUAAUAAUUAUGUCGUUGAAUUGAGAAAACAGUGUUGAAAUUGAGGAAAAUGUUUUGAAUAGUUGAGAUAAUUUAAUAUUAAAAAAUUAAUUUAAAUAAUAGAUAAAAAUAAGCAUGAGAGAAUUAGUAAAAAAGUAGUGAUUCGUUGUCAAAAAAAUAAACUUAAAUUAUAUUACCAAACAAACCGAUGUCUAAUAAACGUUUUGCAGUUCUCACAUAAAAAAUGAACACUGACUGAUGUUUAUGAUAUCACUUUACUUUUUUAAUGAAAAGAUGUAUUUUAGGUGCCUAAGACAUGUUUGAUGAAAGUGCAGGACGAACUUUGUUUUCCUAAUUCUUAAUUUACUCCCUUCGGUUGUUGUAAGAUCUAUUGUCCUUUGUUACUUAUGCUCCAAAAUCGUCUUAGUGCUAUUGGCAAUGACUGCGUUCCCAAGACCACUCACUUUACUUGCUGCAUAAAGCUUAAACAAAGAAGAGUUUUACUCUGGUUUUGAUGUGCAAUGGCGGCUCAGACUUGGGCGCCUUCACGUUGGACCACACUAGCCUGGGCGACAUCAUCGAAUGGAUCUUACAUGCCCGGUCGGGUGAGGCCUUGCUUGUGCUCUUCGAGGUGGAGAUUAGGCAGCUUUCAUGAACUCUAGGUGAUUUUUAUAGGCAGUACAAUGACUUGCUGAGGCUUUUUGGAGUAACAUUGCCAGCAUCUGGACUCAUUACGCCCACAACCAACUAAUGAAUUUCUUAUCAGUGCCCUGACUGCUCUAUGGAUUUGAGCUAGAUCGUGAAGCCGUGAAGUGGAGAAUAAAAUAUCGUAGAAUUGUGUCCUCAGGAAUCCUCACAAAGUAUCCCCUCAUAAGUGAUGUCUACGGUGAGCUAUUGUUGAAAUGCCUAUGUUGUGAAUUGUUGAAUUGUAAACUUUUCCCAUAAUCCAUUCACAAAUCAGUUGUUUCUGUCGUAAUGUAAGUGAAAAGAUGCUAUUGCAAUGUAUAUUAUUUUCUGUA